rnacentral:misc_RNA from 1 species
AACAAAAUGGGAGUUCGCUGAUGGCACUUCCUCCUUUGGAAUUGUUUUAAUAGUAGCUCACCAUACAUAUGCUGUUUACUUGCCAUUUUUAUUUGGGUUUUUCUUAAUAAGAAAUAGGGUACUCUAAUUGUAUUUUUGAAAUUUGGAAUGCCCCAGUUUUAAUCAAUAGUUCUCUACGUUUUUGGUAGCCAACCAUCAUCAAUAUUAUAAAGAUAUUGUAUUGGCCUUCUUAUUUGCUUAAGAAUUAUUGAUUAAAAC